CCUACGGGAGGCAGCAGUGGGGAAUAUUGGACAAUGGGCGCAAGCCUGAUCCAGCCAUGCCGCGUGUGUGAAGAAGGCCUUCGGGUUGUAAAGCACUUUUAUCCGGAAAGAAAAGCUUUGGGUUAAUACCCUGAAGUCAUGACGGUACCGGAAGAAUAAGCACCGGCUAACUUCGUGCCAGCAGCCGCGGUAAUACGAAGGGUGCAAGCGUUACUCGGAAUUACUGGGCGUAAAGCGUGCGUAGGUGGUUUGUUAAGUCUGAUGUGAAAGCCCUAGGCUCAACCUGGGAAUUGCAUUGGAUACUGGCAGGCUAGAGUGCGGUAGAGGAUAGUGGAAUUCCCGGUGUAGCAGUGAAAUGCGUAGAGAUCGGGAGGAACAUCUGUGGCGAAGGCGACUAUCUGGGCCAGCACUGACACUGAGGCACGAAAGCGUGGGGAGCAAACAGGAUUAGAUACCCUGGUAGUCCACGCCCUAAACGAUGCGAACUGGAUGUUGGGUGCAACUAGGCACUCAGUAUCGAAGCUAAACGCGUUAAAGUUCGCCGCCUGGGGAGUUACGGUUCGCAAGACUUGAAACUUNAAAGGAUUGACGGCUUGAGCGNGCGAGCGACGACGAGGAGGAGG
rnacentral:rRNA from 1 species